AUACAGAGGGUGCGAGCGUUAAUCGGAUUUUCUGGGCGUAAAGCGUGCGUAGGCGGCUUUUUAAGUCGGAUGUGAAAUCCCUGAGCUUAACUUAGGAAUUGCAUUCGAUACUGGGAAGCUAGAGUAUGGGAGAGGAUGGUAGAAUUCCAGGUGUAGCGGUGAAAUGCGCAGAGAUCUGGAGGAAUACCGAUGGCGAAGGCAGCCAUCUGGCCUAAUACUGACGCUGAGGUACGAAAGCAUGGGGAGCAAACAGGGUUAGAUACCCUGGUAGUCCAUGCCGUAAACGAUGUCUACUAGCCGUUGGGGCCUUUGAGGCUUUAGUGGCGCAGCUAACGCGAUAAGUAGACCGCCUGGGGAGUACGGCCGCAAGGUUGAA
rnacentral:rRNA from 1 species